AGACAAUAGUAACAUUAUUUGUGCGAGGGAUGACAAAACUAAAAUGAUGGUUCUUCUUAAGAGAGAAACGUAUGAUUCCUAUUUAAGUGCAUUCAUACACGAGAGUAAUAGCCAGGAGAUACCAAACGACCCAAAUGAAAGCCUAAAUCAGCAAGUCUGCACUAUAUUACGAAAUAAUAAAUUCCCCUCUUUCUUAAAGGCAACUUACAUGAGAUCACCAGCACCACCAAGAUUGUUUGCGUUUGUCAAACAGCAUAAACACCCAAUCGAGGCAAGCCCAGUUGUAGAGAGGACAUUUGCACCUACUUAUCAGUUAGAA
rnacentral:lncRNA from 1 species